rnacentral:rRNA from 1 species
AAAUUGAAGAGUUUGAUCAUGGCUCAGAUUGAACGCUGGCGGCAGGCCUAACACAUGCAAGUCGAGCGGUAGCACAGAGAGCUUGCUCUCGGGUGACGAGCGGCGGACGGGUGAGUAAUGUCUGGGAAACUGCCUGAUGGAGGGGGAUAACUACUGGAAACGGUAGCUAAUACCGCAUAACGUCGCAAGACCAAAGUGGGGGACCUUCGGGCCUCAUGCCAUCAGAUGUGCCCAGAUGGGAUUAGCUAGUAGGUGGGGUAACGGCUCACCUAGGCGACGAUCCCUAGCUGGUCUGAGAGGAUGACCAGCCACACUGGAACUGAGACACGGUCCAGACUCCUACGGGAGGCAGCAGUGGGGAAUAUUGCACAAUGGGCGCAAGCCUGAUGCAGCCAUGCCGCGUGUGUGAAGAAGGCCUUCGGGUUG